GCAAGUCGAACGGUAACAGGAAGCAGCUUGCUGCUUCGCUGACGAGUGGCGGACGGGUGAGUAAUGUCUGGGAAACUGCCUGAUGGAGGGGGAUAACUACUGGAAACGGUGGCUAAUACCGCAUAACGUCGCAAGACCAAAGAGGGGGACCUUCGGGCCUCUUGCCAUCAGAUGUGCCCAGAUGGGAUUAGCUUGUUGGUGAGGUAACGGCUCACCAAGGCGACGAUCCCUAGCUGGUCUGAGAGGAUGACCAGCCACACUGGAACUGAGACACGGUCCAGACUCCUACGGGAGGCAGCAGUGGGGAAUAUUGCACAAUGGGCGCAAGCCUGAUGCAGCCAUGCCGCGUGUAUGAAGAAGGCCUUCGGGUUGUAAAGUACUU
rnacentral:rRNA from 1 species